CACACGUGAAGCGAGAGAGUGUUUGGUGAUCUAUUUCUUCUGUCUCUGGUUCCUGCAUCAUCAUCAUGUGAUCGUGUAACUCUCUUAUUUCUCUUGUUUCAGUCAAAACACAGUCUACAGUCAUUCUCCCAAAGAAGAACCUCAGGAUUUCAAGCACACUCAGUCGUUCAUGCUGUGACCCCGAUGCCUUAAACCAGUCCGAGUGAUGACCUUUGACCUGCCGUGCCUUUAUUUCAACUCAAUCAUGUCUGGAUCUACCGCGUGUGGACUGGGCUGAAUAGUUGUAUAUUUGAUCAGUAUUUGUGUGUUUUUUUUAUUUUUUAUAAAAAUAACUGAUUUUAUCUGAA